rnacentral:miRNA from 1 species
CAUGUUGCAUACACAUGUGCGUAUAGGCAUGUGUAUAUGCAUUCAUAUACAUACACACACACACACACGCACGCGCCUGCACACA